rnacentral:rRNA from 1 species
CCUACGGGAGGCAGCAGUGGGGAAUCUUGGACAAUGGGCGCAACCUGAUCCAGCCAUGCCGCGUGAGUGAAGAAGGCCUUAGGGUUGUAAAGCUCUUUUGCCAGGGACGCGGUACCUGGAGAAUAAGCCCCGGCAAACUUCGUGCCAGCAGCCGCGGUAAUACGAAGGGGGCUAGCGUUGUUCGGAAUUACUGGGCGUAAAGCGCACGUAGGCGGGUUGUUAAGUCAGGGGUGAAAUCCCGGAGCUCAACUCCGAACUGCCUUUGAUACUGGCAAUCUAGAGACUGGAAGAGGUUAGUGGAAUUCCCAGUGUAGAGGUGAAAUUCGUAGAUAUUGGGAAGAACACCAGUGGCGAAGGCGGCUAACUGGUCCAGACUGACGCUGAGGUGCGAAACGUGGGGAGCAAACAGGAUUAGAUACCCUUGUAGUC